rnacentral:rRNA from 1 species
AGUGAACGCUGGCGGUAGGCCUAACACAUGCAAGUCGAACGGCAGCACAGGAGAGCUUGCUCUCUGGGUGGCGAGUGGCGGACGGGUGAGGAAUACAUCGGAAUCUACUCUGUCGUGGGGGAUAACGUAGGGAAACUUACGCUAAUACCGCAUACGACCUACGGGUGAAAGCAGGGGACCUUCGGGCCUUGCGCGAUUGAAUGAGCCGAUGUCGGAUUAGCUAGUUGGCGGGGUAAAGGCCCACCAAGGCGACGAUCCGUAGCUGGUCUGAGAGGAUGAUCAGCCACGCUGGAACUGAGACACGGUACAGACUCCUACGGGAGGCAGCAGGGGGGAAUAUUGGACAAUGGGCGCAAGCCUGAUCCAGCCAUACCGCGUGGGUGAAGAAGGCCUUCGGGUUGUAAAGCCCUUUUGUUGGGAAAGAAAUCCAGCUGGCUAAUACCCGGUUGGGAUGACGGUACCCAAAGGAUAAGCACCGGCUAACUUCGUGCCAGCCGCCGCCGUAA